GGUUUGGCACAGCCUUAAAGGAGUCUCUUUAAAAGCUUCCAGAGCCGAUUAUAUUUUGGAUUGUGUUUCAAAUCACCCUUCCCCCCCAGGUUUGGUGGGUCCUCAGACAAGUUCCCAGAAUAAAUUAGACAUAACGGUAGCAGGAUUUUUUUUUUUUUUUUUUUUUUUUUUUCUUACUUGAGAAGAAGGAAGGAAUAAGUGACACCAAUUUCUGUAAUGGAAAGAAAAAAGAAAAAAGUGUGUAUCGGAAACUGCUGCUGAGUGACUCAUGCUGCCAGACAAACGGAACCUCACUCAUCACUCCAUCUUCAUCCUCCUCUGGUUACUUCUCCUUCCAUCCGGAGAUGCCUUGAGUUCGACUGUGCAUGGUGUGAAAACAGCCAUGAAGAGUGCCGUUCACGGUCUCCAGCUCAGGCUUGCACAUCACACUAUCUGCAGAGCUGGAGGAGCUCCUGGGACACUGGGUAGGAGUGGUGGAAAGAGCAGAGAGUGGCCUGGGACAGCAGUCUGGGGUGGCCAAAAGCCAUCCAAGGGUGUAGGAAAACAGCACUGGGCCACUCUGCCUAAGCCACGCCUUAGGGUACACACAGAUAUGAUAAGAGAUGUCGCUGGUGGCAGCAGCUGCAAGUCCCUGACCUAAGUGGACCCUGUGGAGCUCGUCUUGUGCUCCUUCCCUCCUUUUCUGUAUCUUUCCCUGGGCUUCACAGCCCAUGACUCCAGAGCCAGCUGCUGUCCCUGUCCCUGUCCCUGAGAUGCUCUGCGCACAGAUGAGAGAGUGGCCAGCCCUGCUCCUGGACCCAAACGCCCAAGGGCAGAGCAGGGAGAAGGGCUGCAUUUCCCA